CCAGCUACUUGGGAGGCUGAGCCAUGAGAAUCGCUUCAACCCGGGAGGCUGAGGCUGCAGUAAGCCAAGAUCACUCCAGCCUGGGUGACAGAGCCAGACCCUGUCUUAAAAAAUGAAAGUCAAUAGUAGCCUCACACUGUGUCACAAUGCCUGCGUCACCCACCUCACUUCAUCUCACCAUGCAGGCAUUUUACCAUCUCACAUCCCAUCAUCAGAGGAAGAGUUGAUUACAGUAUAUUGUUAAAAUUGUUCUAUUUUAUUGUUGUCAAUCUCUUAUUGUGCCUAAUUUAUAAAUUAACCUUUACCCUAGGUGUAUAUGCAUAGGAAAAACCUGGUAUAUAUAGGGUUUGGUAUUAUCCAUGGUUUAAGGCAUCCACUGGGGGCCUUCGAGCAUAUUCUCCACACAUAGGGGGUGCUACUGUAUUCACUUUGGUGACUUAGGGAGUCUUGACUUCUGAGAAGCAGUUAAGAAAGGUAGCGCAUGAUACAGUAGUACUCAGUAGUUGUGUAAUUAUGAAUCUGAAUUUCAAAGAAUUGUAGGAUUAAGAUCCUCUAUCUUUGUAGUAACUCUUGGAGGGCAGGAAACUUGUCUUUGGGACUCCAGUUCUUACCAUAGUUUGGAACGUAGGAGACACUCAAUAUUUGUUAACUUAAAGGUGGCUUCACAAAGGAAAUUAUAUUUGACCCCUAGGUCUUGGAGGAAUAUGACUUAUUCAGGCAGAGAAUAAGUUCAUAAGGCAGAGAUUUCUAUUUAUUAGAAAUCCAGGAGGAGGGAAAGGGGUCCUUUGUCCUGAAGCUGUGUGCUGAAGAUGACGGGAUGAAGGUGGGAAAAGGUAAGUUGAGAGCAGAAUGCGAAGGAUGUUAAAUGUUUAUAGCUUAUUUAGCCUUUCUGUCCUACUUAAGAAUGAAAUUUGGAAACAUACCCAUGUAGUGUUCUUACAAGAGACGUGGAUUUCUCAUAGCCCUCAGCAACUUCACAGAUCUAGAACCUCUCGAAGGAAGGGGAGGCCAGAUCUCCUUAAGGAAAGACUCUGCUAUACUGCCAAAAUAUAUUUUGGUUUCAGCUUCACUUCAGAGUUUCCUAUAAUGGAUCCUGAGCUCCAGGGAAGUCUCUGACAGUUCUUUGGCAAAAGUUUUGGAGAUGGUGAUCUGAUCAUCUCUGAAGUAUUCAUUCUAGACAACAUUCAGUGCUGCCAGCAGCCAGCCACCCAGGUUGCUUUAUAGCUGUAACACUGCUCAGGCUGGCUCGUGGAGUUCCUGAGAGUAACUCUCUGCUUGCCAGGUCAAGGCUUGUGGCUUGUGCAUGGUGUAUUGGUCACUUACUUCCUGCCAGUUCUCUGUGAGAGAACUGUUACCCAAUUCAGUGGGCGGGUAGGGGUGGACCAGUAACUGAGGUAGUUACCACAAUCUGUUCUCCCAUUUUUUUCCAUGGUAAUAGGGGUUGACAUUGAAUAACAUGUCUGCCUAACUGGGGCUAUAUUUGCUGUUUUCCUUGUAGUUUUAGGUGUGAUGAAGCAACUAAGUUUUAUGGAAUUUGAGUGGAAAUGCUGCUAAUUCCAGAGCCACAAGAUGGAAGGAACCUGCAUAACCACAUGGAAUAGUGAACUGUUAUAUGAGAGCAGAAUAAAUGUCUUUAUUCUUUAA